AUUGAACGCUGGCGGCAUGCCUUACACAUGCAAGUCGAACGGUAACGGGCCUUCGGGUGCCGACGAGUGGCGAACGGGUGAGUAAUACAUCGGAACGUGCCCGAUCGUGGGGGAUAACGAGGCGAAAGCUUUGCUAAUACCGCAUACGAUCUACGGAUGAAAGCAGGGGACCGCAAGGCCCUGCGCGGACGGAGCGGCCGAUGGCAGAUUAGGUAGUUGGUGGGAUAAAAGCUUACCAAGCCGACGAUCUGUAGCUGGUCUGAGAGGAUGAUCAGCCACACUGGGACUGAGACACGGCCCAGACUCCUACGGGAGGCAGCAGUGGGGAAUUUUGGACAAUGGGCGCAAGCCUGAUCCAGCCAUGCCGCGUGCAGGAUGAAGGCCUUCGGGUUGUAAACUGCUUUUGUACGGAACGAAAAGCCUUCUUUUAAUACAGGAGGGUCAUGACGGUACCGUAAGAAUAAGCACCGGCUAACUACGU
rnacentral:rRNA from 1 species